GAUGAACGCUGGCGGUAUGCCUAACACAUGCAAGUCGUACGAGAGUUUUUUAACUCUAGUGGCGGACGGGUGAGUAACACGUGAGAAUUUGCCUUUAGGAGGGGGAUAACAAUUGGAAACGAAUGCUAAUACCCCAUAUGCUUUUGAGUGAAAUGGAUUUUAUCCGCCUAGAGAGAAGCUCGCGGCUGAUUAGCUUGUUGGUAAGGUAAGAGCUUACCAAGGCGACGAUCAGUAUCUGGUUUGAGAGGACGAUCAGACACACUGGAACUGAGACACGGUCCAGACUCCUACGGGAGGCAGCAGUGGGGAAUUUUCCGCAAUGGGCGAAAGCCUGACGGAGCAAUACCGCGUGAGGGAAGAAUGCCUAUGGGUUGUAAACCUCUUUUUUCAGGGAGGAAUAAAAUGACGUGUACCUGAAGAAUAAGCACCGGCUAACUACGUG
rnacentral:rRNA from 1 species